UACGGAGGGGGCUAGCGUUGUUCGGAAUUACUGGGCGUAAAGCGUGCGCAGGCGGUUUUUCAAGUCAGGGGUGAAAGCCCAGAGCUCAACUCUGGAAUUGCCUUUGAAACUGUGAAACUCGAGUGCGGGAGAGGUGAGUGGAAUUCCCAGUGUAGAGGUGAAAUUCGUAGAUAUUGGGAAGAACACCAGUGGCGAAGGCGGCUCACUGGUCCAUUACUGACGCUGAGGUGCGAAAGCGUGGGGAGCAAACAGG
rnacentral:rRNA from 1 species